UGGAAGCCUGGAAUGCUCUCUUCUCUACUUUUACCUCUUAAUUUCCCUUGAUUCCAUCAAGACUCCAUUCCAAUCCUACCUUUCCAAGAUCACCCAGGGACUCUAAAUUAUAUAAUAUGGGCAUCAGAUGAAAGAACAUGGAUGUUUCACCUAGAGAAGAGAGAAUGUAAUAAUUAUAUUACUUGAAGCCCCAAUUUCUGAAAGAGAAGUUGAUUUAUUUUAUGUAGCUCGGGAGAGUUGGUGGAAGGAGGUCAUAUAUAACACAGACACAUCUAGGAGUAAUACAAAGAAAAUCAUGGAGGGAGAUGGAUCUCACAAGGAAGAGGUGGCGUGGAUCAGGGAAGGAUCCUCAGAAAACAUGGUGCUUGGGCUGACCAUUGAAGAGACUCCACUCAUCAAAGAACACUGGUGAACCUCCCCAUCCCUUUGUGAUCUAGGCGAUCCUGAAGAAGCGAAACACACCAAGAAGAAGGAGGUUGGGGAGAGCCCUGGUGAAUCAAGACCCAUUAAGGAGGAGGCUGGGGGAGGGCCUUGCAAAGGAGAAGGUAUAUGAGGCAAGACCCUGUCAGUAGGGUGUCCUGUCUUCUGAAGGACCAAAGGAAUUCACUUAAAGCUAAAGCUCUAAGAAGUAGCUGGCUCCUUUUAUUUUUCUCUGCUCAAGGGGAAAAAAAUUGCACGUGUUUCCACUUGGUGAUCUUGAAUGCAUUAUGAAAUACUAAGAGGCUUGCUGGAACAGAGAAAGGAUGCAGUUGGCCAGUCUUCCUGAACAAGAGGUGUACUCGUGUCCCUUUUCAUUAUAGUUCUGGCUGUCACCUUCAGUCAUCUAAGCCUCUUCACUCCUGCCCACAGAUAAAAUCUUCCUCACAGCCCAUGCCAUUUGUGCAGACUAGUUACUUGGC